ACGGAAGGCAGCAGUGGGGAAUAUUGGGCAAUGGGGGAAACCCUGACCCAGCGACGCCGCGUGAGGGAAGACGGUCUUCGGAUUGUAAACCUCUGUUGACAGGGACGAAGGAAGUGACGGUAGCCAAGGAGGAAGCCCCGGCUAACUACGUGCCAGCAGCCGCGGUAAUACGUAGGGGGCGAGCGUUGUCCGGAAUGACUGGGCGUAAAGGGCGCGUAGGCGGUUCUUUAAGUUAGGAGUGAAAGUCCUGCUUUCAAGGUGGGAAUUGCUUUUAAUACUGGAGGGCUUGAGUGCAGAAGAGGUAAGCGGAAUUCCCAGUGUAGCGGUGAAAUGCGUAGAGAUUGGGAAGAACACCAGUGGCGAAGGCGGCUUACUGGGCUGUAACUGACGCUGAGGCGCGAAAGCGUGGGGAGCGAACAGGAUUAGAUACCCUGGUA
rnacentral:rRNA from 1 species